UUACGGCGGCAAACAGCAAAAGGCCAGUGUUUGGAAACGAAGGGAAACCCUACAGAGUACAGAGCAUUGUCAGUGUCAGUAUGCGUUGACUGGCGUGGACUAAAGCGCAGUGACUACAGUCGUCAGAGCCAAGCGGAAAGGACGAAGGGAAGAAGCCGAGGAGUGCUCGGAAACGAAGGAUUCCCAGUCGCUCGUGUCGCGGAGAGGAAUUUGAGUGGGCCCUCCUGGUCUCGACGCUGUCGACGCUAUCGGAAAAUCAAGGUAACAGUUUCAGUGAUCAUCGUUCCAGUUUGUUUUGCUCAAGAUUAAAGGAAAGUAGAGAUGGAGGAAGAGGAGGAGGACAAGUAAAUUAUUCAUAAAUUAGUUAAUUAAUGGCAAAUUCCUGCAAAUUGUCGGAUAAUAUGGUGGCCCAAAUCCUGUCAAGUUUGCCACCUAAAUCCCCUGAUGCGGUUCAAAUGCGUCCACGAGUCCUGGCGUGAUCUGAUUGAUAGUCGCUUUGUGGCCAGCCACCUCUCGAAUUCGAAUAAUUCGAGUUCCUCCGCCCGCAUUGCCGUCAGGCAUAUUGUUGGUGGCGAGGAGGUUGAUAAGGAGGACGUUUUGGGUGUCAUUUCUUUAGUGGUACAGUACACUUUCAUAUUGUUUCAUUUAUUUCAUGAUCACAACCCAAAUUUAGAGCGAGCGAGCGUUUCUUGUUCAUUCAGUGGGGAAGAGGUAGAGGAAGAGUUAGACCAAUGGGCAGAGGAAAUGGGAGGGUCACAGGCAAAGGCGAUGAAACUCAAUUUGCAUCCUCUUCUCGAGCAGUAACUGAGAAAAUCGUACAUGCAUAAUUUACUUUGUUAACUUAAGGCUUAGUUUGAUAUUGUUGUUAGGGUUGAGGUGUGGGGAGGAAGAGGAAGAGGUAGUCAGGCCAUGCCAUGAUCAAGGCGAAUGGAGUUCACUCAGCGAUCUGCUGCAUUGCCUUCGUCUUCGCAAACUGUGACAAGAGGAAGAGGUCAAGGCAGGGCCAGUGGAGCAAUGGCAACUUCACAAGAUUUGCCCUUCCGACCAUCCACUUCGGUCAUUGCCAAGCCCGGGGGAAGAUCCAAACACUAAGCCAUGAAGUAUAUAAUCUGCUGUCGGAGUUGUGCAACCGAAAGCAACCUGAAGAGAAAGUUCCAUAUUGCUGCUUCUGAAUGAAUAGAGAGCUUCACCAAUUAUAAAGUCAAGAGCCCCAAUUCCGAUCACUAUCAUGCCUUGCAAGGCCUUAACAACAACAUUCAGCAUGUAAUUUUAAUGAAUUAUGUUUUGAAACCUCACUCAAUGGGGUUUUGAAUGGUAAGUUUAUUGCUUUAAUUAUUGGUAAGAAAUAAUUAAAUGCAUUAGACUAAUUGUGUUUUGUCUUUUAAACAUGUGGCACAAUCUAGAGGGGCGUAAGCUAUACAAGGGUUAUGGGGUGAGUAAAAACUAACUCUUAACUGACUGGCUUAAAUCCUGUAAACUAGUACAUCUAUGGUCCGUUUGGAAAUGCUUCUCUAGAAAGCAAUUUUACUGGAAGCUUUUUAAGUAGAUCCACGUAGAACUGCAGAACACUAACCUUAUAAUUAUGCUGAACACCGGGCAAGCCAAAUUUAAUUAGAGUGUUGCUUUAUUAUCUUCUCUACGUUUCCUUUAGUUGGAUGUAGUGCUUCAAAAAUAUAUUUUCAAGAGAUAUUCUCUCAUUGCAGAUUUUGAUCACCAUGUUUUCUUCUAUUUACUUUCCAUUGUUUCAAUUAAUCACAAUUGACACUAACCUAGAGCUUCACUAGAGUUCAGUUUCUCUAUACAUAUAAGAAGAGUAAUUUGCCGAUUCCCCCCCUUAACCUGUACCCCAUUGCCGAUAUUACCCAUAAAGUUUUGGUUUGGCCAAUUUUUUCCCUAAAAUACUAUGAAUAGAUAAUUUCUCCCUAGCUUCAAAUUUACCCAAAUUCCAUCCCAAAAAGUCACAUGUUGGUCGUUGAAUGUCCUUUUGUGUUUGUUAUAUUUCCUUUCUUAAUCUUAUUAUUGUCUUCUUUUUUUUUUUUUUUUUAAUUUUGAAAUGUGACAUUUUCAAUAGAAAGUUAGAUGAAGUAUGGGGUAACAUGGCCGUAUGCGGAAAUUGGCCCUUUAUGUUAAUUUAGUGGGAAAUCAUCAAAACACUCUUGAUUUAGGGAAAUAAUUGAGGUCAUUGAACAUAAAUAAAUUAGAAAGUAAAAAUAAUUCUAUUCUGA